rnacentral:lncRNA from 1 species
CGACCGCUCACCUGCAGCGCUGUCCGCUGAUGCUCGGCCCCCGGGGCGCUGCGGGGCGCGGCCAACCGCGCAGCCCGGGGCUCCUGAGCCGCAAAGCCAGGGGUGCCAGGCACACCGAACCGCAACGCACAGCACGUCGCCACUCGCGCCCCUUGGUCGGCGUCACCAGGGAGGGCGGAUGGCGGCCUGACCACUGUGGCCGCCCUGAAAGGGACUGUUCCCCAGGAACCGGUUCCCCCAACAGACACGAACCCCUCCCGCUAACGUCUCCUGCGCGGCCCGCUCCCGAGAACCCUGGCUCGGGAGAGCGACGCGGGGCCCUCGGGCUGCGGCCGUGGCGCCCUCCUGGCCGGCCCGAGGGCGCGGCUCGCUCUCCUUCCCCAUCUCCUUCUCCAGGACGCCUGCCCUCCCGGCUCCCGAUCCCGAGCAGCGGCUGGCUGGGCCACAUUUUAGCCUUCCAGGAUGGCCAGGCACCAGGCUUGUGGCAAAAGGAGCUGGGAGAGAUUUGGAGCCUGUAGCGUAACUCGAGGUGCCCCAGUCACCCGUGAGAGGUCUUCCUUUGGGCACACACGGGUGCAGGGAAGAGGAAAGAACGCGGGGAGCCUCUGGGACUUGGAUGUUGAGAGGGCAUAAGGAGAGAUUCUGAGCUGAGGUCACUGCUCCGGUGACCUGGCCACGUGUGAAGGGAGAGUCUGGGGGUGGGGGUGGGGUUCAACUACAAAGAGGGGUCUAAAAAAGGCAA